rnacentral:rRNA from 1 species
AUUGAACGCUGGCGGCAUGCCUUACACAUGCAAGUCGAACGGUAACAGGUCUUCGGAUGCUGACGAGUGGCGAACGGGUGAGUAAUACAUCGGAACGUGCCUAGUAGUGGGGGAUAACUACUCGAAAGAGUGGCUAAUACCGCAUGAGAUCUACGGAUGAAAGCAGGGGAUCGCAAGACCUUGUGCUACUAGAGCGGCCGAUGGCAGAUUAGGUAGCUGGUGGGAUAAAAGCUUACCAAGCCGACGAUCUGUAGCUGGUCUGAGAGGACGAUCAGCCACACUGGGACUGAGACACGGCCCAGACUCCUACGGGAGGCAGCAGUGGGGAAUUUUGGACAAUGGGCGCAAGCCUGAUCCAGCAAUGCCGCGUGCAGGAUGAAGGCCUUCGGGUUGUAAACUGCUUUUGUACGGAACGAAAAGCCCUGGGUUAAUACCCUGGGGUCAUGACGGUACCGUAAGAAUAAGCACCGGCUAACUACGUGCCAGCCGCCGCCGUAA